CACGUAGGGACCAAGCGUUGUCCGGAUUUAUUGGGCGUAAAGAGCUCGUAGGCGGUUCGGUAAGUCGGGUGUGAAAACUCUGGGCUCAACUCAGAGACGCCACCCGAUACUGCUGUGACUUGAGUCCGGUAGGGGAGUGGGGAAUUCCUGGUGUAGCGGUGAAAUGCGCAGAUAUCAGGAGGAACACCGGUGGCGAAGGCGCCACUCUGGGCCGGUACUGACGCUGAGGAGCGAAAGCGUGGGUAGCAAACAGG
rnacentral:rRNA from 1 species